rnacentral:lncRNA from 1 species
GAUCUGUUCCCGCACGCACGGACGGCCCAGAUCAAACGUGCGCACGGACAGCCCAGAUUCACGCGUACGGACGACCCAGAUUCAAUCAGGCACGGACGGCCCAGAUUGCAUCGCGAUGGACGGCCCAGAUUUAAUUCCAAUUAAAUCGCGAUCGGACGGUCCAGAUUUAAUCUUGAUGGACGGUUGAGAUUAAAAGGCAAAUUGUAUAAAUAACCCCACCCACACCUGACCACAAAACCUUAGCCGCCAGUGCCUCGCCGGAGAAGAAGAACCAGACGCCGGAGGAGCCGGCCGCCGCCACCCGCCGCCGCACCGGAGAGGUUUCCGACCGCCAAUCAAG